rnacentral:rRNA from 1 species
GACGAACGCUGGCGGCGUGCUUAACACAUGCAAGUCGAACGGUAAGGCCCUUCGGGGUACACGAGUGGCGAACGGGUGAGUAACACGUGGGUGAUCUGCCCUGCACUUCGGGAUAAGCCUGGGAAACUGGGUCUAAUACCGGAUAGGACCCUGGGAUGCAUGUCCUGGGGUUGAAAGCUUUUGCGGGGUGGGAUGGGCCCGCGGCCUAUCAGCUUGUUGGUGGGGUUAUGGCCUACCAAGGCGACGAGGGGUAGCCGGCGUGAGAGGGUGACCGGCCACACUGGGACUGAGAUACGGCCCAGACUCCUACGGGAGGCAGCAGUGGGGAAUAUUGCACAAUGGGCGCAAGCCUGAUGCAGCGACGCCGCGUGAGGGAUGACGGCCUUCGGGUUGUAAACCUCUUUCAGCACCGACGAAGCGCAAGUGACGGUAGGUGCAGAAGAAGGACCGGCCAACUACGUGCCAGCCGCCGCAGUAA